CUUCCUGUUUAAGUUUUCUUACUCAUCAAUUGAUGGUAGCAUUCUCUUCCACUACAUUGGCAAUGUUGAUGCCAUUGUUCAGAAAGUAAUAUUUCUCAUCCAUUGUCAUGUACAUUUGAGCAAACCAAUUUUCAUCUAAUUUCAAGGAAUUCAGUUUUUUUUUUUUUCCAAAGAAUUUUACAGUUAUUCUCUUCCACUACAGUGGCAAUGUGGAUGGAUGGCAUGAUCUCCACUGGAGUAAAUAAGGCAUUACAUAUAGUUGCUAGUAUAUUAUUUAAAUGGAUUUUAAAUAAUAAUCAUGGUGAACCCUGCAAAUUUAAGGGUGCCCGUCUCUCUCCCAGCAGUUUCCUUCAUUGUGGCCCACUUGAAUAAUAGGUGUCCAUGAUGGGCUUUUCAAAUUGGGUUGGUGUUUUCCAAUGCUAGGCCAACCAGCACUUGGGUCUGAACCCAAGUUGUAGCCCUAGACCAAGCAUGCACCUGGGCCCAACACUUCUUCUUUACUUUGUAAUGGGUGCCACCGCUAGCUAACUAUCAUAGUAAUAAAAAAUCUGCAUAUUUGCAAAUUGCUUUGAAACUGAAAUUCACUCUUUUGGGUCUGUGUAUCUUCUUUCAAUAUGAUUUAGUCCACUCGAUCUAUUUAAUGAUAUAGAUAUACCAAUGCAGAGAAAAUCUUCUUUUCUUUUUUGGUGAAUUGAAAUUCAUUACAUGCCCACUUUAUCAGUUAUAAUAUCUGGACCGCAACAUUUCAGGAUGCAGGGGGAACUUGGUGCAAAUGCUAUAUUAGUUGUGUCAAUUGCUGCUUGUAAAGCUGGUGCUGCUGAAAAGGGGGCAAGUUUUUUUUUAUAUGGUAAUUGCCAAGCUGACCUGUUUUUAAAGCCAUGCCCCAGGAGAUUUUUUCCUGUGUUUCAAUUUUCAUUUGCUUCAAUGUUUCUAGUACUUUUUAUACUAUUGCUCUUCAAAAAUUUUACUACUUUAUUUAUUUAUUUAUUUUUUAAUGAAAUACAACUAGGAGCAAUUUCUGGCCCCUAAGCAGAAUCCUCUCCCCAAAGUUAGAGCCAAACUUAAUGGAAAAGGAAGAAGAGGAUGAAGCGAGAGCCACCCUAAGAUACCAUGUGCAUCCCCUGUUUUGGGGAACUGCAAAAGCCUACCAACUGUGAUAUGCCAAAAUGACAAUUUGAAUGCUAUUUGAAAUGCUUAUAGAUUCCUACCAACUGUCCAUGUUCCGCAUCGAAGUCAUUCUCUUACUAUUAUGAUUAUCAAAUUCUUUUUUUCUUUUUUUACAAACAUCAUGUCAGACUUCUUUUUUACUCUAUUCCAAUUUUCUAGCUGAGGAAAUGUGCAUUUUCUAGUUGAGGGAAUGUCCACGGACACCUGGUAAAGUGCUCAACUCAUUAACUGAUUACUCCAGUAGAUUAUAAAUGUAUAAAUUUCACUAUAUAGU